GAGGGUACAGCUCAGUGGUAGAGUGCGUGCUUAGCAUCCACAAGGUCCUGGGCUCAAUCCCCAGUACCUCCA
rnacentral:tRNA from 1 species